rnacentral:rRNA from 1 species
UAACUCUUGAUAGGUGAAGAACUCUGAAAUGAGUCUUUGCCUAAAAAGAUUCACGUUAUCCUUCGUGAACCUGCCUAAGGAUGAGGCCGCGACCGAUCAGGUUGUUGGCGAGGUAAUGGCUCACCAAGCCUUUUACCGGUGCGGGCCGUGGGAGCGGGAGCCCGGAGAUGGGUACUGAGACAAGGACCCAGGCCCUACGGGGCGCAGCAGUCGCGAAACCUUUGCAAUACACGAAAGUGUGACAGGGCUAUCCCGAGUGCCAUCCGCUGAGGAAGGCUUUUACCCAGUCUAGAACGCUGGGGGAAUAAGGAGAGGGCAAGUCUGGUGUCAGCCGCCGCGGUAAUACCAGCUCUCCGAGUGGUGUGGAUGUUUAUUGGGCCUAAAGCAUCCGUAGCUGGCUAGGUAAGUCCCUUGUUAAAUCCACCGAAUUAAUCGUUGGAUCGCGGGGGAUACUGCUUGGCUAGGGGACGAGAGAGGCAGACGGUAUUUUCGGGGUAGGGGUGAAAUCCUAUAAUCCCGGGAAGACCACCAGUGGCGAAGGCUGUCUGCUAGAACGCGCCCGACGGUGAGGGAUGAAAGCUGGGGGAGCGAACCGGAUUAGAUACCCGGGUAGUCCCAGCUGUAAACGAUGCAGACUAGGUGUUUGGACGGCCACGUGCCGUUCUAGUGCCGCAGGGAAGCUGUUAAGUCUGCCGCCUGGGGAGUACGAUCGCAAGAUUGAAACUUAAAGGAAUUGGCGGGGGAGCACAA